CUCUCUCAGACGUUGUGGCAAGCAGCGAGCAGAGAGCGAGAGCAGCAAAUGAAAGACGAUUCAGCGAACAUUUCUGCAUCAUUCCAGAUCCACUUCCUCUGUCUGACAUCACUACCAGGUCAGGGGUCAAGCAAGUGGACACUUCCUGUGUUGACAGUGACGUUGAGAAUCAGACCCUUGAGAUCACAAUAUAACCGACGUGAUGAAAUAAAACCCAACCUAAGACCGACGAGUUCCUCACAAAAUAAUCCUUCAAUGUCAUUUUAUCCAACAAACUAUUAUAACAUUUUUUUCAAACACUUCAUCCCAUUUUUCAGAUUGAAGUGUUAUAUUUUCAAAACUCUCACAACAAAACUCAAAACUCCUAUUGAUUGCAGUACUCGCGGGGGUAAUACACUCGACCACUGCUACUCUAACUUCCGUGAUCCAUACAAAGCCGUUCCCCGCCACCCCUUCGGCAAAUCCGACCACGGCGCCAUCUUGCUCCUACCGUCUUAUAGGUAGAAACUCAAACAGGAUGUACCAGUGACUAGAACCAUUCAACGCUGGUCUGACCAAUCGGAAUCCAUUCUUCAAGAUUGUUUGAUCACGCAGACUGGGAUGUGUUCCGGUCAGCCUCAGAGAACAACAUCGAUCUAUACGCUGACUCUGUGAGUGAGUUUAUAAGGAAGUGCAUUGGAGAUGUUGUACCCACUGUGCCUAUUAAAACCUUCCCUAACCAGAAACCGUGGAUGGAUAGCGGCAUUCGUGCAAAACUGAAAGCGCGAACCACCACAUUUAACCACAGAAAGAGGUCUGGGAAUAAGACUGAAUAUGAAGAAUGUAGUUAUUCCCUCCGCAAGGCAAUCAAACGAGCGAAAUGCCGGUACAGGGACGAAGAUGAGUUGCAAUUCAACGGCUCAGACAUAAGACGUGUGUGGCAGGGCCUACAGGAAAUCAAGGACUACAAAAAGAAAACCAGCUCUGUCACGGACACCGACGUCAUUCUUCCAGACAAACUAAACACCUUCUUUGCCCGCUUUGAGGAUAUACAGUGCCAACGUUGAAGCCCGCUAUCAAGGACUGAGCCCGCCCUUUCCUUCUCGGUGGCCGACUCUGCUGUCCCCACAUGCUUCAAGAUGGCCACCAUUGUUCCUGUGCCCAAGAAGGCAAAGAUAACUGAACUAAAUGACUACUGCUCCGUAGCACUUACUUCUGUCAUCAUGACGUGCUGAGAGACUAGUCAAGGAUCAUAUCACCUCCACCUUACCUGUCACCCUAGACCCAAUUCAGUUUGCAUACCACCCCAAUAGGUCCACAGACGAUGCAAUCGCCAUCACACUGCACACUGCCCUGUCCCAUCUGAACAAGAGGAACACCUAUGUAAGAAUGCUGUUCAUUGACUACAGCUCAGCAUUCAACACCAUAGAACCAUUCAAGCUCAUCAUCUCUGCCGCUCGGCUAUCGCUCAUCCACAUAUUUAUAUGUGCAUAUUCUCAUUCAACCCUUUUUUGUAUUAGGUAGUUGUUUGGGAAUUGUUAGAUUACUUGUUAGAUAUUACUGCACAAGCAUUUCGCAUUAACAUCUGCUAACCAUGUGUAUGUGACCAAUAAAAUUGGAUUUGAUUUAUACAG